rnacentral:rRNA from 1 species
GACGAACGCUGGCGGCGUGCUUAACACAUGCAAGUCGAACGGUGAACCUCUUCGGAGGGGAUCAGUGGCGAACGGGUGAGUAACACGUGGGCAACCUGCCCCCGGCUCUGGGAUAACUCCAAGAAAUUGGGGCUAAUACCGGAUGUUCACCGCUUCCCGCAUGGGUGGUGGUGGAAAGGGUUUCCGGCUGGGGAUGGGCCCGCGGCCUAUCAGCUUGUUGGUGGGGUAGUGGCCUACCAAGGCGACGACGGGUAGCCGGCCUGAGAGGGUGACCGGCCACACUGGGACUGAGACACGGCCCAGACUCCUACGGGAGGCAGCAGUGGGGAAUAUUGCGCAAUGGGCGGAAGCCUGACGCAGCGACGCCGCGUGGGGGAUGACGGCCUUCGGGUUGUAAACCUCUUUCAGCAGGGACGAAGCGCAAGUGACGGUACCUGCAGAAGAAGCGCCGGCCAACUACGUGC